rnacentral:pre_miRNA from 9 species
UCUCGAUAGCGUAAAAGUUAACUUAAAUUUGUAUGGGGAGUUGGUGCGUUUGCCUGCGUUAACCGCUAGGAGCGCUGUUCUAACUGCAUACAAAUUGGACUUAACUUUUACGCUAUCGA